UACGUAGGGUGCGAGCGUUGUCCGGAAUUAUUGGGCGUAAAGAGCUUGUAGGUGGUUUGUCGCGUCUGCUGUGAAAAUCCGAGGCUCAACCUCGGACUUGCAGUGGGUACGGGCAGACUAGAGUGUGGUAGGGGAGACUGGAAUUCCUGGUGUAGCGGUGAAAUGCGCAGAUAUCAGGAGGAACACCGGUGGCGAAGGCGGAUCUCUGGGCCAUUACUGACGCUGAGGAGCGAAAGCAUGGGGAGCGAACAGG
rnacentral:rRNA from 1 species